rnacentral:rRNA from 1 species
GGUGAGUAACACGUGAGUAACCUGCCCCGAACUCUGGGAUAAGCGCUGGAAACGGCGUCUAAUACUGGAUAUGUCCUAUCACCGCAUGGUGUGUAGGUGGAAAGAAUUUUGGUUCGGGAUGGACUCGCGGCCUAUCAGCUAGAUGGUGAGGUAAUGGCUCACCAUGGCGACGACGGGUAGCCGGCCUGAGAGGGUGACCGGCCACACUGGGACUGAGACACGGCCCAGACUCCUACGGGAGGCAGCAGUGGGGAAUAUUGCACAAUGGGCGCAAGCCUGAUGCAGCAACGCCGCGUGAGGGAUGACGGCCUUCGGGUUGUAAACCUCUUUUAGUAGGGAAGAAGCGAAAGUGACGGUACCUGCAGAAAAAGCACCGGCUAACUACGUGCCAGCAGCCGCGGUAAUACGUAGGGUGCAAGCGUUGUCCGGAAUUAUUGGGCGUAAAGAGCUCGUAGGCGGCUUGUCGCGUCUGCUGUGAAAACCAGAGGCUCAACCUCUGGCCUGCAGUGGGUACGGGCAAGCUAGAGUGCGGUAGGGGAGAUUGGAAUUCCUGGUGUAGCGGUGGAAUGCGCAGAUAUCAGGAGGAACACCGAUGGCGAAGGCAGAUCUCUGGGCCGUAACUGACGCUGAGGAGCGAAAGCAUGGGGAGCG